rnacentral:ncRNA from 1 species
UAAAAGUUUGGUCCUAGCUUUACUAUCAAUUGUCUCUCAAUUUACACAUGCAAGUCUCAGCACCCCAGUGAGGACGCCCUUAAUCCCUUACCCAGGACAAGGAGCUGACAUCAGGCACAGAACUCUAGCCCACAACGUCUAGUCCCACCACGCCCACAAGGGUUCUCAGCAGUGAUAAAGAUUGUUAAUGAGCGUCAGCUCGAAUCAGUUAGAGAGAAGAGAGCCGGCUAACCCGGUGCCAGCCGCCGCGGCUACACCGUGGGGCUCAAACUGAUAGUUGUCGGCGUUAAGCGUGAUUAAGGUCAUAUUUGAUUAGAGUUAAAUGUACGUUUAGCUGUGAAAAGCUUACUAACUAGAAACCCGAACACGAAAGUUACUCUAACUCCCCCUGAAUACACGACAGCUGGGAUCACAAACUGGGAUUAGAUACCCCACUAUGCCCAGCCGUAAAAAAUUAACUCACACCCAUUAGCGCCAGGGUAUUACGAGCGCAAGCUUAAAAUCCAAAGGACUUGACGGUGUCCCACCCACCUAGAGGAGCCUGUUCUAUAAUCGAUAAUCCUCGUUAUACCUCACCAUUUCUCGCUUUUCAGCCUGUAUACCUCCGUCGUAAGCCUACCGUAUGAAUGUCCAACAGUAGGUUAAAUGGCUUCUUACCGCCAAUACGUCAGGUCAAGGUGCAGCCAAUGAAAUGGGAAGCAAUGGGCUACAAUUUCUAAUUUAGAACAAACGGAAUACUACAUGAAACAUAGUCAUGAAGGCGGAUUUAGUAGUAAAAGGAAAUUAGAGUGUUCCUUUUAACAAGGCUCUGGGACGUGUACAAACCGCCCGUCACCCUCUUCGAUAGUAAAUAAACUAGCUAUAUAACACUAUAUCGGCGCCUUAGAAGAGGCAAGUCGUAACAUGGUAAGUGUACUGGAAAGUGCACUUGGAUUAA